UACCCCUUUGCUCUUGUGAUUUUCUCGUGGGAUUACAUAGGCGGCGGCUUCAUCCGCUCCCAAUUGGUGCUCCUACUCCCUUCGAGGUAUUCCUUGAUUGAUUGUAGGCUGUGUUAGUUGGUUCUUUGAGAGUGUGGUUGGGCGAAUCCUCGAUUCAGGUUGCCGAUUAAAGACGGUGGUUGGCUUCGAGUUUUAUUUGCCAGGUUGCACUAGUUAUCGCUGCUUGCAGCAAGUCAUCCGGCUGUUCUUCAGCUAGUUAUCGGUGUUCUUCCUACGUCGUGAAGAUCGGGAGAACGUGUCGCAUCAAGGGGG
rnacentral:lncRNA from 1 species